rnacentral:rRNA from 1 species
GACGAACGCUGGCGGCGUGCUUAACACAUGCAAGUCGAGCGGAGCGGCGAACGGGUGAGUAACGCGUGAGUAACUGCCCCCCUCUCUGGGAUAACAGUUGGAAACGGCUGCUAAUACCGGAUAGUGGGGGAUGACUCGCGUCCUAUCAGCUUGUUGGUUGGGUAGUGGCCUACCAAGGCGACGACGGGUAGCCGGCCUGGGAGGGCGACCGGCCACCAUGGGCUGAGAAACGGGCCAAACUCCGUCGGGAGGCAGCAGUGGGGAAUCUUCCGGAAUGGACUAAAGUCUGGCGGGGCAACGCCGCGUGAGGGAUGACGGCCUUCGGGUUGUAAAGCUCUGUUAAUCGGGACGGAGAAUAGGGCGAGGAUUUGACGGUACCGGAAUAGAAAGCCACGGCUAACUACGUGCCAGCCGCCGCGGUAAUAC